rnacentral:tRNA from 1 species
GCGGAAGUGCUGGAAUUGGCAGACAGGCUAGACUAAGGAUCUAGUGUCGGAAUAGACGUGUGGGUUCAAGUCCCAUCUUCCGCA